AAAUUGAAGAGUUUGAUCAUGGCUCAGAUUGAACGCUGGCGGCAGGCCUAACACAUGCAAGUCGAACGGUAACAGGAAGAAGCUUGCUUCUUUGCUGACGAGUGGCGGACGGGUGAGUAAUGUCUGGGAAACUGCCUGAUGGAGGGGGAUAACUACUGGAAACGGUAGCUAAUACCGCAUAACGUCGCAAGACCAAAGAGGGGGACCUUCGGGCCUCUUGCCAUCGGAUGUGCCCAGAUGGGAUUAGCUAGUAGGUGGGGUAACGGCUCACCUAGGCGACGAUCCCUAGCUGGUCUGAGAGGAUGACCAGCCACACUGGAACUGAGACACG
rnacentral:rRNA from 1 species